GGGCCCGUAGCUCAGCCUGGCUGGAGCGUCCGGCUGAUAACCGGAAGGUCGUGGGUUCGAAUCCCACCGGGCCCA
rnacentral:tRNA from 3 species